CCAGCUGGCUGGGUGAUUGCUGUUGCGAUGUUCGAAAGAAUGCAAUGGAGGAAAGUCCGGGCUCCAUGGAAACACGAUGCCGGGUAACGCCCGGCUGGGGAGGUGUCUCACCAAACCAAGGGAAAGUGCCGCAGAAAAUAUACCGCCGUUUACGGUAAGGGUGAAAAGGUGGGGUAAGAGCCCACCGCACGCGCCAGCAAUGGCAGUGGCAGGGUAAACCCCAUCGGGAGCAAUACCGAAUAGGGAUAGCGCGGAGCAGCAAUGCUCCUGUUGGUUUCCAGACCAGUUAUCCGGGUAGGUAGCGUUGAGGUGACUGGUAACAGUCAUCCCAGAUGAAUAAUCACCGCGUUUGGACCAGGUUCGCCCGGUUCAGGCCGUACAGAACCCGGCUUAUAGGCCGGCUGGCACU
rnacentral:RNase_P_RNA from 1 species